GAGGAGAAAGAUUUUGCUUGAUUGUUGACUUGUUAUUAUGCCUUUACUAAACCAGCAAUGCUCCUCAGGGUCCUCAAAAUCAUUGAUUCUUCUACACAGACUGCCAAGAACUGAAUGUUCUUUCGAAAUGUCUUCCUUCCAAGUCAUCCAGAAAAGGCUAUGAAAGGCAGAAGAGGAUUGGACCAAGCCAAUCAACAGCAUCCAGCUGGGAAAUGAGCGAACAUUUCCAGGGUCACAAAGGAUGGCUGGAACUGGGAGGUUGCCACUGAGUUUGCUGAUGGACAUAGAUAGGCUUCCACUUAACCCAGAACUGGACUUCUAGAUGACAUGCUUGGUGCCUGUGGGAAACUCUGGGAGGCUUGGAGACAUCUAAAUGCUUUUUUUCUGAAGAAGACAGUUUGAAAUGGAGCUUUUUGUUAAAGUCUCUAUCCCAUUAAACAUUAAAUCAGUUGUUGAACCAGAAUGCAUUUACUUGUAUGUAUGAAUGCAUCCGUACUUCUAACACAUGGGUAAUCAAAUACUUAAAUUUGCUUUAAAAUUCCCAUUAU